GUAGGGAAUAUUGGGCAAUGGGCGAGAGCCUGACCCAGCCAUGCCGCGUGGAGGAAGACGGCGCUCAGCGUUGUAAACUCCUUUUGACUGGGAAGAACGGCAGACCUGCGGGUUUGUGUGACGGUACCAGCAGAAUAAGCACCGGCUAACUCCGUGCCAGCAGCCGCGGUAAUACGGAGGGUGCAAGCGUUGUCCGGAUUUAUUGGGUUUAAAGGGUGCGUAGGUGGAAGCUUAAGUCUGAUUUGAAAGCUGGCUGCUCAACAGUCAGAUGUGGUUGGAAACUGGGUUUCUUGAAUGGGUUGGCGGUAGCUGGAACGGGUCAUGUAGCGGUGAAAUGCAUAGAGAUGACCCAGAACACCGAUUGCGAAGGCAGGCUACUAGGACCACAAUUGACACUGAGGCACGAGAGCAUGGGUAGCCAACAGG
rnacentral:rRNA from 1 species